AACGAACGCUGGCGGCAGGCUUAACACAUGCAAGUCGAGCGCCUCGCAAGGGGAGCGGCAGACGGGUGAGUAACGCGUGGGAACGUACCCUUUACUACGGAAUAGCUCCGGGAAACUGGAAUUAAUACCGUAUGUGCCCUUUGGGGGAAAGAUUUAUCGGUAAAGGAUCGGCCCGCGUUGGAUUAGCUAGUUGGUGGGGUAAAGGCCUACCAAGGCGACGAUCCAUAGCUGGUCUGAGAGGAUGAUCAGCCACAUUGGGACUGAGACACGGCCCAAACUCCUACGGGAGGCAGCAGUGGGGAAUAUUGGACAAUGGGCGCAAGCCUGAUCCAGCCAUGCCGCGUGAGUGAUGAAGGCCUUAGGGUUGUAAAGCUCUUUCACCGGAGAAGAUAAUGACGGUAUCCGGAGAAGAAGCCCCGGCUAACUUCGUGCCAGCCGCCGCCGUAAAAC
rnacentral:rRNA from 1 species